rnacentral:rRNA from 1 species
UACAGAGGGUGCGAGCGUUGUCCGGAAUCACUGGGCGUAAAGGGCGCGUAGGCGGCUUGGUAAGCGUGCGGUGAAAGCCCGGGGCUCAACCCCGGGUCGGCCGUGCGAACUGUCGAGCUGGAGCACUGUAGAGGCAGGUGGAAUUCCGGGUGUAGCGGUGGAAUGCGUAGAGAUCCGGAAGAACACCGGUGGCGAAGGCGGCCUGCUGGGCAGUGGCUGACGCUGAGGUGCGAAGGUAUGGGGAGCAAAUAGG